CCGCGUUUACACCUGUCUGCUGCCCAGCUGGGCUUCCCCACGGCGGCGUUAUCUAGUGACCUUCUCCUCCCUGCUCACUCUAAGGGAAAGAUUUGCGGUCCCCCCCCCCCACCUCUUUUUCUUGAGCAAAUAUUUCCAUCCACAAUAGCCUCCACUAACUAGUUCAUCCAGGGUCUGGGUCACCUGUCUCCUAUACAUCACCGUCCACCCAUGCGACUUCCUUAACACCAUGUGGUAGGAAUUUACGUUUUACAGGAAAGAAUUCAACUUGGGGAAGUUAACUGAAGAAUGCACACGCACACACACACACCAGUAUUGGACUGUAAUAAUGUAAAUAAUAGAAAUCGUAGUUAAUAUUUCAUGAACCUUCACUCUGUGCCAUAUACCAUAUUUUAUACUAGGGCUUUACAGGCAUAAUCUCAUUUAUUUCUCUUACUAGCAAUAAUAAUCUAUUGAUUAUCAUUACUUCUAUUUUUUAGAUGAGGCAAUGCAGGUUUGGAGAUGUUGGGUAGCUUGCUCCAGAGACACACAAACAGAGGAAGAGCCAUGCUCUGAAUCCGGGUCUGUCUGGUUUUAAUUUCUACUAUCUUUGCCUCUAUAUGAUAAACAAAUAAGCUUGAAAUAAGGCAUAUAUCAAAAACACAAUACCAACUACGAAGUAGUAGCUUUAAAGGAUUACACUGUGGCGGGCACUACCCUUCACAACCUUGAACUUCAACUCAUCAAUGCCGGUGUGAGAAAUGUACUGCUGGCCCAGUUCACAUUAAUACCUGCUGGAGGCCUGGAGCACAUCACUGUUGCUACAGAACAAGAGAGGGGUGACGGCGGAAGAUUCUUGAACCUCCACAGCCACACAUGGUGGCUAUUUUCUCCUGGCUUCCCCCUCCCACAGCAGCAUAGCAGGAAGAGAAGCAUCACAUUAUCUUGCAGCAGAAACAUGGCAAGACAGAAUUUAAUUAUAUGUGGCUGCAAGUUAGCCACAACAUUGGAUGAGGUCAUCAGUUCUUACAGAAAAUGA
rnacentral:lncRNA from 12 species